AGGUGGGAGUCAGCUGCAACAUUGAAAACCGGCGCGGACGACGAGUUGACCGUGGUAUUGUAAGCUAACGCAGACGGCAAGUCGGUUUUGGCGUUGUAAGCCGGUCGACCGCGUCAUUUGAAAGCCGAUGCGGACGGCGAGUUGGUCGCGUCAUUUGUAAACGAACACGGAUGGCGAGUAGACCGUCGUGUUGGAAAUCGACGUGGACGUACAAGUCAGCCACGACGUGUUGAUGUAGCAUGAACCAAUGGGGGUGGUGGCUUGCACGCCUAUCCAUCGAGUAGUGCGACACGAACAGAUGUUGGCGCAAGAUGAUAUUGGCUCUAGCUCGGUAUUCCCGGUAUAUUACCACUUUUGGAAUGAAUAAUUGCCAUGUGUAAAAACAUAUUACGGGCCAGAGUGAUUGUUCUCAUAGAAAAUAAUGUGUUCAUAAAAUAUAUGGAAGGGAUAUUACGUGGUAUUUUUAUCACAUGAAGAGCUUCCUCAAAGAAUAUAACACCAAAAAUGAUUGUCCUGAUUUAUUUGGAGGAUAAAUGAUCCAUGUGCAACUUCUGCCCGGAUGAUGGCUUGUUGAUGGAACGUUGAGUCGUUAACCAUUGCGGCAGUUGUGCGCUUGUUCGUCGGGCGAGCCGGCGCGGUCUCUUUUUUUGCUAUAUUUUAAAUAUUGCAUUUUUUAUUGUUUUUGAAAAAUAUUACGUCAUUUUAGAAAUUUUCAAAAAUGUAACGGCCUCGGCCUAACCGAAGCCGACUGGCUUCAGUCGGCCUAGCCGUAGCCGAUUGCCCCCCUGUCGGCCUUGGCGUGGCCAAUAAAUCACCAGUCGGCCACGUGGUAUCUGAUAAUUGGCCGUGCCACGUCGCCCGCAGUCACUCUGCCUGGAGGGUGGCCAGUCGGCCUAGGCGUGGCCGAUAGGCCUGUCGGCCUUGGCAUGGUCGAUAGGAGGCCGAGGUGAGCCAGCCCUCCCUCUCCUUCUUCCUCUCUCCUUCUCCUUAUCUCUUUCUUUCUCUCCUCCUCUUUCUC
rnacentral:lncRNA from 1 species